GUCAUCUUCAGCUGGGUGCCAUCCAGACUGCAAGCCCUGGGAGUUGAGGCUGGAGGGAUGUGAUCUGACAGAGGAGAUCUGCUCCUAUCUGGUCUCUGCUCUGACAUCACACACAUCUACACUCUAUGGGAGAGGCCUGAGGAGAGAAGAGGGGGAACGAUUAUGUUCUACUAUUAGUCAUCAAGACUGCAGACUGGAGAAACUAGAGCUGUAUAACUGCCCCCUGUCAGAGAAGAGCCUUUCCUACCUGGCCUCUGCCCUGACCUCCCACUCCUCACAUCUUAAACAACUGACGCUGAAGGGCCAAGGCCGAUCAUCACUGCAUGUGUCAUCUUCAGCUGGGUGCCAUCCAGAC